rnacentral:lncRNA from 1 species
CUGUGAUAAUUAUUUUUCGAGAAACAUAUGACAAAGGGUAAUGAAUUAAAAAUAUAUAUAUUUUUUUUGUUAUGAAUGGGUCAAUCGGAGGACCUGACAGACUAAUGACAUGCCCAAUAAGAUAGGUUGCCUAGAAUAGAACUGGAUCAUCUCUUUGUAUUUGAGCUUUAGUAGUGAAAACCAAAGUUUGCUGCGUGUUUCUUUCAAAUAGUUGCCAGCCGAAGACAGACCUGACACCCAAAGGCAGUAACAAAGAAACAGGCUUU